UUCAACCCGCGGUCCAGACGCCGCCGUGACGGCGCGGCGGCGCGAUGCAGAACGGGGGUGGUGGAUGGAGAUUGCAGGGGCCGGAUCCGCGCGCGGCAGUGGCUAGGAAAGGCGGAUCCGGAGGCGUGCGGCGCGGAGGGGAUCGCCGGUGACGAAGAGGAAGGCCGGAGCAUGGCUUCCCGGGUGGAUCCAUGGCGUCCACGGCUCUUGGGCAGAGGGAGAUAAGGAGGUGAGGGAGAGAAGAAGGGACAAAGGAGGAGCGGUGCGGCGACCUAGGAGAGCUCGCCGGAGCCGAGCGACGGCGGACGGGCGCGGGCGUCGGGAGACGGGCGCGGGAGAUGGAGGGAUCCGAUGCGGCGGCGUAAAUCCUGCUACAGGUGCGAGUCGCUCGUCUUCUAGGACCACUCUCAAGACGACGGUGGCGUCAACGGCUAGGCGCACGACGGCAGCCCUCCCGUUGCUACGGAGCCUGGUGGAGUGCCCUGAGGCCGCAGAUGCUGCUGCUACACUCGCACCACCAGCUCAAGGUCAGUCUCCUUCACCUCGUUCUACAGUGCAACUCCCGUCUGGCACCAUGAUACCUUACUUCUGCCCCUCUGGUUUGGAGAGUGUGUGCUCUCAGCUCUGCUGGGCAGGCCGUGCUCUCUUGCGUGCGAGCAAGGGAGAAGAGCGAGCUUGCUGAUUCUUACCUACAGCUCCAACAUUUAAGCCUGCAAACCGAAUCUUCAGAUUUGUCUUCUACAGAAUAGGAUUUUUUUACAGUUACAUACUCAUUGAAGUUACAUGAUGUGCAGUUUAUAAAUUUGAUUACUAGGGGACUUUUACUACAUGUCCAGUUAUGCUUUCAUGAUAAAAGGAGCGCGCACCAAACGUUUGUUGAAUUGCUGCUUGAAGAAAAUGUAUGGAGUUUUUAUUGCUUGCUUCAAGUCAUAAACCACGUAAAAUAAAUCCUAUAAGCUGUUCUUACCAUAUUAUCUUUUGAACCAAUUUUGUAAACUUAGUACGAUAUGAUUAUUGUUUUUGUAGGGUUUCCUAUAGAUAUAUUUGAGCUAUUAAAAAUGUGAUUAUAUCAUUUGUCAUCUGAAAACCAGACUCAUGUAUACAUUAUGGGACAUAAUGUCCAGGAAAUAAUCACCAGGUACAAACAUCACUCUUAACCUACAUUGUACAACAUUGCAUAAUUUUCUGUUUUUCGUGAGGUACCGUUAGUAUUUUUUUAUCGCAUACAUAAAUAGAACAAAGGUCACAAGAGCUGAUUUUGUGCACCUUGCUGCAUCUGCACUGACUUGAUUAAGAUAUUCAAAGUGUGAGCUUUUGAAAUUUCCAAAAAUAAGUCAGAUUGUCAUUAUUAACCUAUGUGCACAUGCCAAUAUUUUCUGACUCUGUGACAAUUGUCUUUGAGAAUAAUUGGAUGAACCACCAUGUCGCCCUUGCGCCUGGUUCCAUGGGAAAGUAAUUUACAAACCUUCAGUUGGUCAAUACAGCCUACAUGUUUUUUUAACAGGCAGCUACAGGUUGACAUCUUUUAUCUGAUUCCAUGUUUUCUACCACUGCUUAACUUUAUUUGAAAAACUGUUGUUGAUAUGUAGGCAUGAUACAAUACUAGAGUUGUAUGCAGGAUAUAGUACUAGAGUUGGAAUUUCAGGGAAUCCAAAAAAGAACUUACUAUGCUUCAGCCCAUGUUUUCUACCAUUGCUUGCUUUUACUUGAAAAACUGUUGUUGUUAUGUAUGCCAGAUACAAUACUAGAGCUGGAAUUUCAGGGCAUCCAAAAAGAAUUUACUAUGCUUCAGGUAAGAAAGUUAAUUUGUUUGACUUUUGUAAGGACUAAAUUACGGACGCGGAUUUGGUGAACAUGGGUGCGCGCGCACCCUUUAUGAAUAGUAAAUUCAAAAAAAUGCUAGAAAAAAUCAAAAAAAUCUGAACUUAUUUUUGUAAUAUACAUAGUCAACCGCUAUGCUUGCAUAUGAAGUUUCACGAAGAAAUCACAUCCGUGGUAAUCUGGUCAAAAAUGACAAAAUCGAACCUAAUCGAAGCUAUAUUAAAAAACACUAUUUAAUGAAUAGUAUGGUCGCAUUUGUAUUUUCUUCACUAAGAAUACCAUGGGUGUCAAUAUAUCAUGAAACUUCACACGUGAGUAGAAUGAUCGACUAAGUUUCAUACCGCAAAAUUUCAGAUUUUUUUCAUUUUUUCUAGUAUUUUUUAUGAAUUUACUAUUCACGUGGGUGCACCCGCACCCAUGUUCACCUUUGUAUUUUCGCUAAAUUACUAGCUUAAUGCAUGGGACUUAUUGAGCUGCAGACAUGGCAUGUGCGUACAUAGAGACCUGCUGCGGAUACACCUCUUCUUACAGGAUAGGCUGUCUAAGAAUUAUCUUGAGCUUCAAUUUCCAUAAUAAAACGUGUGUUUUUAUUUAUCAUGGUUUCUCCUCCUACAUAACCAAAAUUUCCAGAUGUUGUUUUAUCAUUUCCUCCGGCGCCAUUAAAUCUCAGUCUUACCUAUGUUGAAAUGGUUCCAGCGUGUGCAUGAUGCACUGCUCCCCUUAGUUUUCGGAGGAACAUGGUGCUAUUCCUGGUGCUUUUGGUUAUGGAAAAACUGACAUUAGUCAGGAACUUUCUAAGGUGUUCACCUUACUGCGAUCUGUUCUCAUCGUAGCAUCUCUAUACAGUCUACUGAGUUUAAAAAUCCAUGCAGUACUCUAGUUCUGAAGCUUUGGUUUAUGUGGGAUGUGGCUGAAAGAGGAAAUGAGAUGGCCAAGAUUCUAAUGGAUUUCCCCCAAUCGACAAUGACAUUUCUUGACAUGAUGUGAAGAGUGGAGCUGCUUAAAGUACAUGGCGAGCUCACCAUGCUCACCUUUCUUCCUACAGAUUGGGAGCCGCCGACCAUGACCCAUGGUGUGUAGAUGAUACACUGGUGAUGCGUUCCAAGGGACGAAGAGGAGCUCAUGAUUUUCAGGGACGAGGAGGAGCUUGCAAGUUCCAGACUUGGCUUGCCUGACCUGCCGACGCAUGAGGAGGACUAGGAGUCUGGUGUUUUCUCUGCAAUGAAGAACGGAUGUCUUCGGGUGCAACGCACGUGCUCUUUUGCUUUUACAAACUUCAGUUCUAAUUUUAGUGUUCGGCUGAUAGUAGUCUGUUGGAACAAGUGCAAAGGCAACAUCAUCUUCCAGCAGAAGAUUUCCCCUGCAUUGAGCGCUUCAGAGAUGCACUAGGUUACUCCAAGAACAAGGGCAUUAUCAAACUAGAUGUUGUAUAUUAUCCGUCCAUCAUCUUGAUGCUUGUGUAUCCCGCGACAAGUCCAAGCUUAAUCAGGAUAAUCUGAUUAGUGCGUCA